rnacentral:misc_RNA from 1 species
GAAGCAAGGAGAAUGGACCAGACAAUGACAAUGGUCGGUGUACGAUUUUGCCUUCCCAGUAAACCCUUUAGGAAAGGAUAUAAAUGGACAAUAACCCACAAUGCAAAGAACAGCUUACCAAAGAGAGGACCCCAAGACUGGUAACCACUGUUAAUGGCAUAUGAUACACCAGCCACUAUACCAACCAUAUUCAUAAUCAGGACAGUGGUAGGAGGGAUGAGGAGAGAAGUCCAUUUGAACACAUAAAGCUCUGCAAAAU